GAAAAAAAACGCGGACGUGCUGAUAAACCCCACUCUCUAAACUGUCCUUUCCCUCAUUCCCGCCGGCAUCUCUUUCUCGGUCUCUCUCGCCGGCGUCUCUUUCUCGGUCUCUCUCGCCGAAUGGACUUAACUGUAACCUCAAGAAGGCCUUGUUUCGUUGAAGAAGACGAUGGUCUUGUUUCUCUUGCUGACAUGAAGGCUGAUUUUACUGGAUCUCCACCCAAAUCAACCAUAACCAACCCAACCAAUUCAUCUCAAGGCAUGUGUAUUACUCAAAGAAAAGCACUCGGUGAUAACAAAGACAUCUUCAUUUACAGGAUCAUUCCAUCCUAUGAUACCCAGGCAAUCUUGUCAAAAACAACAUUUAACAUAAUAGAAAACACUACAAAUGCGAAAUCUGUCUACAAAAACCUCCAAAUUCUGGAAAUAUUAGUAGCUGAAAUUAUAAUAGCAGCACAGGCUGCACAUUGCGCGAUUUCUCUGGUGUCUCCAAAUCUGUCAGAGAUCGGCAAGCUGCUGGAUGUUGAUGGGAGAAACAACAUCUUGAUUCCCAUUGAAAGCCUUCCUUGCCAUUAGUACAUUCACCGCUUCUGUUGGAUGGAAUGCAUCCCAGAACACGUAUUGAUCCCUGUUUGAGCACGGCUGCUGCAUGGGGAGGCAUGUAAUCUGUCCAUUGUUCUUGCCUAUACCACAGCACCCGCGGUCUAGAACCGUGAAUCCUGCAUAGUCAUGUAACAACGGUGUUAUACAUAGUCUUCCAAGACCCUUGCUAGCACAUUGAUAGAUUUAAACGUGUUAGGCUGAGGGAAAUUUACCAUAGGAUCCAGGGUUGGCGAGGAUGUCUUGGAUCAUGUUGUGAAUGUCGAUGAAGGUUAUUCUUGCACCGGGAAGAUUGGUGUUCAAAUUAUUGAUCAUUGUCUUGGUGUUGGCAUUGAAAGGUAAAACUAAUUGGUUCACAUCCUCUGAGCACUGAUCGUUUGCACUCUGUGAAAGAAUGCUCGGUAUACAACCCAUUAGUCCAAGCCCUGCUAUGAUAACCUUCCGCGCUCCAAGAGUGUAAAGUCUCUGCAGCAGCAAAAACGCCAUAAAAAAUUUGAUCAAGACCUUUUCCAUUUUUCUUAAACAAGAACAGAGGUAUUAUAAAAAAAUUUAUGAUCUUACAGUGAGUUGGGCUGUGUACUGCUGAACCAAGAGAUCCGCGAAUUGUGGACCAUUAUAUUGAUUCUUUGUCGGAUAGUUGGGCAUUAGGUAGUUGUUCAAGUAGUCAUUGCUGCCCAUUCCAACAAAGAAGAUGCACCUUGAUAGCUGUUGUGCUAGAUUCUCUGCUCCGACUCGUGCUCUGAUUUGAGUCAGCGAAUGCUCAAAGUUCUCAAGCUGUCUGUUGAAUGGUAUCCUACCAACCUAACAACAAAACAUUGAAAAUGAUACUAAUGAAAUUCUCAUUGUUAGCUUGUCAUUAGUUGAUAAGUAGGUAACAUUGUUGUUGUUUGUUGCUCACAAAGUUUCUUCCUGUGAUAUCAAGAAUUCCAGCUGCAGCAGAAGCAUAAUUAACACCAUGGAGCAUAUCAUCGGUUGAAGCUUCAGAGUAUGCAGGUACCAGAGGUAGUCCCAGUAGAUCAGCUGCAUGAUGAAAAUUAUUUUGUAAUUAGAUUUGAAGGCAUAAACAAGUGUGGGCACAUCAUUCUCCUCACAUCUGUGAGUUUAGCAUAAGGUGAAUCAUGGUUUCAAUUCCGAAGCAAGUUUGUGAAAUGAGCAUUUUACUUAUCAUA